rnacentral:misc_RNA from 1 species
GAGCAAGCUUUUGGGUCAAGUUACAAUUGCUAAUGGAGGUGUCUUGCCUAACAUUCACCAGAAUCUGUUGCCUAGAAAGGCUGGCUCAGGCAAGGGCGAUAUUGGUUCUGCAUCUCAAGAGUUCUAGAACAAAUGAACUCCCUAGUUUUGAAAUCGAUCUGAAGUGAACAAUUCAUAGCUUUGUAAUAUAGAAUUGGCUCUUGUUUUGAUAGUUUUGAAUUCAAUGGUGCUGUCGACUUUCUGUUUGAUUUACAACUUGGAAAGUUUUUGUGAUGCGAAUGGAAUUACAUCUUUU